rnacentral:ncRNA from 1 species
AAGUAUCACUCGCCGGAGCGAUGCUUAUCAGAGUCAUGCCAACUAACCUUAGGCCUUGUGGUUAGUUGACAUGACUCUUUUUAUU